GUAGGAUCUUCAUGGAUGUAAAUAAUAUGUGUUAGAUAAAUUCCAUAAGCCAUCUGAAACACAAUAUUGGAAUAUUCAACAGGAUACAUUUCAGUUUUCUAUAAUACUCAAAUACAUGGAAAAACUAAUUUCUUUGUGGCUGUAGCUAGCUAUGAUAUUGCUCUAAUGUAAAAGGCAAAUAAUACAUUAUCACUGAUGUGCUUUUGUUUUUAACCCACAAGUCAGCUUUUUCAGUCUUGAACAAUUUUGAAUUGAGUACAGACAUGCCUCAGAGAUGCUGCUGGUUUGGAUCCAGGUCACCAAAAUAAAGUUAACACAACAAAGGGAGUUAUAUGAACUCUUUGGUUUUCUAGUGCCUAUAAAGUUAUGCUUACACUCCACUGUAGUCCAUUAAGUGUGCAAUAGCAUUAUGUCUAAAAAAAAUAAGGCACGUACCUUAAUGUAAAAAUACUUUAUUGCUGAAAAAUGCUAAUGAUCAUCUGAGCCAUCAGCAAGUCAUAAGCCUUUUGUUGGUGGAGGGUCUUACCCUGAUGAUGGCUGCUCACUGAUAAGACUGGUGUUUGCUAAAGGUUGGGAUAGUUGUAGUAAUUUCUUAAAAUAAGACAACAAUGAAGUUUGUCACAUCUAUGGACUCACAAAAUAUUUCUUCUGUAUCAUGCAAUGCUAUUUGAUAGCAUUUUACCCACGGUACAACUUCUUUCAAAAUUGGAGUCAGUCCUCUCAGACCCUACCAUUGUUUCAUCAAUGGAGUUUUUGUAAUGGUCUAAAUUCUUUGUUGUCAUUUCAACAGUGUUCACAGCAUCUUCACCAGGAGUAGAUUACACCUCCAAAAACCACUUCUUUUGCUCAUCCGUAAGAAGCAAUGCUUCAUCCAUCAAAAUGUGAUAAUGAGAUUACAGCAAUUCAGUUACAUCUUCAAGCUCCAAUUCAAGUUCUCAUAUUAUUUCUCUCAGAUCCAGUUACAUCUUCAAGCUCCAAUUCAAGUUCUCAUAUUAUUUCUCUCAGAUCCAGUUACUUCCUCCACUGAAGACUUGAU
rnacentral:lncRNA from 13 species